rnacentral:rRNA from 1 species
UACAGAGGGGGCCAGCGUUAUCCGGAAUUACUGGGCUUAAAGGGUGCGUAGGCGGCCCGUUAAGUCAGUGGUGAAAUCCCAGGGCUCAACCCUGGAACUGCCAUUGAUACUGACGGGCUUGAGUUCGGUUAAGGCGGGCGGAACUGGUGGUGUAGCGGUGAAAUGCAUAGAUACCACCAAGAACCCCGAUUGCGUAGGCAGCUUACUAGGCUGUAACUGACGCUGAGGCACGAAAGCGUGGGGAGCGAACAGG